rnacentral:rRNA from 1 species
GAUGAACGCUGGCGGCGUGCCUAAUACAUGCAAGUCGAGCGAACGGACGAGAAGCUUGCUUCUCUGAUGUUAGCGGCGGACGGGUGAGUAACACGUGGAUAACCUACCUAUAAGACUGGGAUAACUUCGGGAAACCGGAGCUAAUACCGGAUAAUAUUUUGAACCGCAUGGUUCAAAAGAGAAAGACGGUCUUGCGGUCACUUAUAGAUGGAUCCGCGCUGCAUUAGCUAGUUGGUAAGGUAACGGCUUACCAAGGCAACGAUGCAUAGCCGACCUGAGAGGGUGAUCGGCCACACUGGAACUGAGACACGGUCCAGACUCCUACGGGAGGCAGCAGUAGGGAAUCUUCCGCAAUGGGCGAAAGCCUGACGGAGCAACGCCGCGUGAGUGAUGAAGGUCUUCGGAUCGUAAAACUCUGUUAUUAGGGAAGAACAUAUGUGUAAGUAACUGUGCACAUCUUGACGGUACCUAAUCAGAAAGCCACGGCUAACUACGUG